UUACAUUGUUGUCACAACAGCAAUGAGAAAGAAAAGAGAGAAGAGAAAAUGGUCAAAGCAAUAAUCUCAAGAAUGUUUCUUUCCUUGGUUAUUAUUUGACAUACAUCCUCCCUUCGCUUUCCCAAUCAAUCCCCUCAAUCUCUAAGCCGGCUUCUCCAUUCUCCAGAUAUAACCGCAGCAAACUGGUCAUGUUCGCAAGUUUUAGAUGAUUUCAAUUCAGUAAGCACAAUCAACAAAACUGAUGACAAUUCCAGAUCGAAGAUCAAUGCAAAUUAACAAAUGAGGUCAAACACAUGUGCUCAGGGAGAUUUACAAUGGGGUCAAAAAUGGUCACAGGUUACAUUUCCCUAAACCAAAUCAUGUGCAUACAGCCUCAAAUCCCUACUCCCACAUUCCUAAACAAUUUUUUCUUACAUUUUGCUGAUCACAAUUUUGAAACAAGACUUGACUAAAUCAAUCUCCCAUCUUCUUUUGUCAGAUGAGCACAAAUUUUUAUUUCUACAUCCAGAGUCCUUGGGUUGAUGACAGACCAACCAAACACCAUUAAUAUUACAGACAGCUUUUCCAUCAUCCCUGUGGCAUUGGAUGGUCAUGCGAAUCUGGUGGAUCUCCAUCUGGUUGAGUUGCAACAUGUAAGAAAAAAAAAAGUCAAUUCAUAGUUGCAACAAAGAAGAAGCAGACAAUCCAAAAGCUCAAGAUAGAAGACCCAUGUUCAUGAUUUUACAAGAUAAGAGACUAGCUACACACUCUGAGCAAAGUUUGUGUUAGCAUUUUUUUUCUUUUUUUUGCGGACGUUUAUGUUUGUAAUGGCCUUUGAUACUAAUCAUCAGAGCACAUAAUUGAAAGCUAGAAAAAAAAAAGAUUAUUCCGA